rnacentral:rRNA from 1 species
AGCCCACCAAGGCGACGAUCGGUAGCCGACCUGAGAGGGUGAUCGGCCACAUUGGAACUGAGACACGGUCCAGACUCCUACGGGAGGCAGCAGUGGGGAAUAUUGGGCAAUGGGCGAAAGCCUGACCCAGCAACGCCGCGUGAGGGAAGAAGGUUUUCGGAUUGUAAACCUCUGUCCUAUGGGACGAAGGAAGUGACGGUACCAUAGGAGGAAGCCCCGGCUAACUACGUGCCAGCAGCCGCGGUAAUACGUAGGGGGCGAGCGUUGUCCGGAAUGAUUGGGCGUAAAGGGCGCGUAGGCGGCCUGCUAAGUCUGGAGUGAAAGUCCUGCUUUCAAGGUGGGAAUUGCUUUGGAUACUGGUGGGCUGGAGUGCAGGAGAGGAAAGCGGAAUUACCGGUGUAGCGGUGAAAUGCGUAGAGAUCGGGAGGAACACCAGUGGCGAAGGCGGCUUUCUGGACUGAAACUGACGCUGAGGCGCGAAAGCGUGGGGAGCAAACAGGAUUAGAUACCCUGGUAGUCCACGCGGUAAACGAUGAAUGCUAGGUGUAGGAGGUAUCGACCCCUUCUGUGCCGCAGUAAACACAAUAAGCAUUCCGCCUGGGGAGUACGGCCGCAAGGUUGAAACUCAAAGGAAUUGACGGGGGCCCGCACAAGCAGCGGAGCAUGUGGUUUAAUUCGAAGCAACGCGAAGAACCUUACCAGGUCUUGACAUCCGUGUAAAGCCGCAGAGAUGCGGUGUGAGCUUGCUCAAUAUGAGACAGGUGGUGCAUGGUUGUCGUCAGCUCGUGUCGUGAGAUGUUGGGUUAAGUCCCGCAACGAGCGCAACCCUUAUGGUCAGUUACUACGCAAGAGGACUCUGGCCAGACUGCCGUUGACAAAACGGAGGAAGGUGGGGAUGACGUCAAAUCAUCAUGCCCUUUAUGACUUGGGCUACACACGUACUACAAUGGCGUUAAACAAAGAGAAGCAAGACCGCGAGGUGGAGCAAAACUCAGAAACAACGUCCCAGUUCGGACUGCAGGCUGCAACUCGCCUGCACGAAGUCGGAAUUGCUAGUAAUCGUGGAUCAGCAUGCCACGGUGAAUACGUUCCCGGGCCUUGUACACACCGCCCGUCACACCAUGAGAGCCGGGGGGACCCGAAGUCGGUAGUCUAACCGCAAGGAGGACGCCGCCGAAGGUAAAACUGGUGAUUGGGGUGAAGUCGUAACAAGGUAGCCGUAGGAGAACCUGCGGCUG